rnacentral:SRP_RNA from 1 species
GCUGGGCUCAGUGGCACGUGCCUGUAGUCCCAGCUACUCAUGAGGCUGAGGCUGGAGGAUUGUUUGAGUCCAGGAGUUCUGGGCUGUGGUGCACUAUGCCAAUUGGGUGUCUGCACUAAGUUCGGCCGACAUCAAUAUGCUGACCUCCCGGGGGUAGGGGACCACCAGGUUGCCUAAGGAGGGGUGAACCGGCCCAGGUCGGAAACGGAGCAGGUCAAAACUCCCAUGCUGAUCAGUAGUGGGAUCGUGCCUGUGAAUAGCCACUGCACUCCAGCCUGGGCAACAUAGUGAGACCCCAUCUCAU